rnacentral:rRNA from 1 species
CCCUGCUUUUGUGGGGUGCUCGAGUGGCGAACGGGUGAGUAACACGUGAGUAACCUGCCCUUGACUUUGGGAUAACUUCAGGAAACGGGGGCUAAUACCGGAUAGGAGCUCCUGCUGCAUGGUGGGGGUUGGAAAGUUUCGGCGGUUGGGGAUGGACUCGCGGCUUAUCAGCUUGUUGGUGGGGUAGUGGCUUACCAAGGCUUUGACGGGUAGCCGGCCUGAGAGGGUGACCGGCCACAUUGGGACUGAGAUACGGCCCAGACUCCUACGGGAGGCAGCAGUGGGGAAUAUUGCACAAUGGGCGGAAGCCUGAUGCAGCAACGCCGCGUGCGGGAUGACGGCCUUCGGGUUGUAAACCGCUUUCGCCUGUGACGAAGCGUGAGUGACGGUAAUGGGUAAAGAAGCACCGGCUAACUACGUGCCAGCAGCCGCGGUGAUACGUAGGGUGCGAGCGUUGUCCGGAUUUAUUGGGCGUAAAGGGCUCGUAGGUGGUUGAUCGCGUCGGAAGUGUAAUCUUGGGGCUUAACCCUGAGCGUGCUUUCGAUACGGGUUGACUUGAGGAAGGUAGGGGAGAAUGGAAUUCCUGGUGGAGCGGUGGAAUGCGCAGAUAUCAGGAGGAACACCAGUGGCGAAGGCGGUUCUCUGGGCCUUUCCUGACGCUGAGGAGCGAAAGCGUGGGGAGCGAACAGGCUUAGAUACCCUGGUAGUCCACGCUGUAAACGGUGGGUACUAGGUGUGGGGUCCAUUCCACGGGUUCCGUGCCGUAGCUAACGCUUUAAGUACCCCGCCUGGGGAGUACGGCCGCAAGGCUAAAACUCAAAGGAAUUGACGGGGCCCCGCACAAGCGGCGGAGCAUGCGGAUUAAUUCGAUGCAACGCGUAGAACCUUACCUGGGUUUGACAUGGAUCGGGAGUGCUCAGAGAUGGGUGUGCCUCUUUUGGGGUCGGUUCACAGGUGGUGCAUGGCUGUCGUCAGCUCGUGUCGUGAGAUGUUGGGUUAAGUCCCGCAACGAGCGCAACCCUUGUUCACUGUUGCCAGCACGUUAUGGUGGGGACUCAGUGGAGACCGCCGGGGUCAAC